GACGAACGCUGGCGGCGUGCUUAACACAUGCAAGUCGAACGGUGAACCUCUUCGGAGGGGCUGAGUGGCGAACGGGUGCGUAACACGUGGGCAACCUGACCCGGCCUCUGGGGUAAGUCCAAGAAACUGGGGCUAAUACAGGACGGUAAACGCUUCCCGCAUGGGAGGGGGUGGAAAGGGUUUCCGGCUUGGGAUGGGCCGGCGGCGUAUCAGUAGGUUGGUGGGGUAGUGUCCUACCAAGGAGACGACGGGUAGCCGCCCUGGGAGGGUGACCGGCCGCACGGGCCCUGGGGCGCGGCCAGGAGGGCAACGGGGGGCAGGGGUGGGAAAUAGUUCGCACUGUGCGGAGGCCGGACGCAGCGACGCCGCGUUGGGGAGCACGGCCUUCGGGUAGUAAACCUCUUUCCGCAGUGCCGACGCGCAAGGAACGGAACCUGCAGAAGAAGCACCGCCAACCUAGGG
rnacentral:rRNA from 1 species